UUCCUACGGGGGCGCAGCAGUGGGGAAUAUUGCACAAUGGGGGAAACCCUGAUGCAGCGACGCCGCGUGAGUGAAGGAGUAUCUCGGUAUGUAAAGCUCUAUCAGCAGGAAAGAUAAUGACGGUACCUGACUAAGAAGCCCCGGCUAACUACGUGCCAGCAGCCGCGGUAAUACGUAGGGGGCAAGCGUUAUCCGGAUUUACUGGGUGUAAAGGGAGCGCAGACGGCAGCGCAAGUCUGGAGUGAAAGCCCGGGGCCCAACCCCGGAACUGCUCUGGAAACUGUGCGGCUAGAGUACUGGAGGGG
rnacentral:rRNA from 1 species